rnacentral:rRNA from 1 species
AUUGAACGCUGGCGGAAUGCUUUACACAUGCAAGUCGAGCGGCAGCACGGGGGCAACCCUGGUGGCGAGCGGCGAACGGGUGAGUAAUACAUCGGAACAUGCCCAGUCGUGGGGGAUAACACUUUGAAAGAAGUGCUAAUACCGCAUACGUCCUGAGGGGGAAAGCGGGGGAUCGCAAGACCUCGCGCGAUUGGAGUGGCCGAUGUCAGAUUAGCUAGUUGGUGGGGUAAAGGCCUACCAAGGCAACGAUCUGUAGCUGGUCUGAGAGGAUGAUCAGCCACACUGGGACUGAGACACGGCCCAGACUCCUACGGGAGGCAGCAGUGGGGAAUUUUGGACAAUGGGGGCAACCCUGAUCCAGCCAUUCCGCGUGAGUGAAGAAGGCCUUCGGGUUGUAAAGCUCUUUCGGCAGGAACGAAACGGUGAGCUCUAACAUAGCUUGCUAAUGACGGUACCUGAAGAAGAAGCACCGGCUAACUACGUG